CCCUUAGAUGUUCUGGGCCGCACACGCGCUACACUGAAGGAGGCAGCGUGUACUCCUGGAUCGAAAGAUUUGGGUAACCCGCGAAUCUCCUUCGUGCUAGGGAUUGAGGUUUGCAAUUAUCCUUCAUGAACGAGGAAUUCCCAGUAAGUGCAAGUCAUAAGCUUGCGCUGACUACGUCCCUGCCCUUUGUACACUCCGCCCGUCGCUACUACCGAUUGAAUGAUUUAGUGAGGACUUCGGACUGGGACCGAUGCGGCUUUCGGGCUGCGUCGGUAUUCUGGAAAGAUGUCCAAACUGUAUCAUUUAGAGGAAGUAAAAGUCGUAACA
rnacentral:rRNA from 1 species